rnacentral:misc_RNA from 1 species
ACCGACUCCGGCGACUAUGAGGUGAAAUUGCGUAACCUCAAGCGCUUCCUCGAGGCCGGCGACAAGACCAAGGUCACCGUGCGUUUCCGCGGUCGCGAAAUGGCUCACCAGGAGCUGGGUCGCGAACUGCUGGAGCGGGUGGAGGCCGAUCUCGCGGAACACGGUUCCGUCGAGCAACGCCCGAACAUGGAAGGGCGCCAGAUGAUCAUGGUGCUCAGCCCGGGCAGCAAGAAGAAAAAGUAACCGGAACCCCGGUUGCUUUUGUUUUAUUCACACAACUUGAGACAGGUACCAUGCCAAAGAUCAAGACA